UACAGAGGGUGCGAGCGUUAAUCGGAAUUACUGGGCGUAAAGCGUGCGUAGACGGUUAUUUAAGUCGGAUGUGAAAUCCCCGGGCUUAACCUGGGAACUGCAUUUGUGACUGCAUAGCUAGAGUACGGUAGAGGGGGAUGGAAUUCCGCGUGUAGCAGUGAAAUGCGUAGAUAUGCGGAGGAACACCGAUGGCGAAGGCAAUCCCCCUGGACCUGUACUGACGCUCAUGCACGAAAAGCGUGGGGGAGCAAACAGGAU
rnacentral:rRNA from 1 species